UUUCAUAGUAAGCUUGAUUAAUAUUAAUCAGCUUCUCUCUCCAGAAUGCAUUUCAAUUAAUGGAAGGAGAAGAAACUCUCAAGUGUAUUGGAUGAGGGACAAACUGGACUGUUAACGUUUCAACUGAAGAAUUUACAAGGUAAUGUGCUGACAUCAUAACAAGGUUUGAGGGAGGCCCAUCUCACAAGAAUGUGGAAACCCAAUCAUCAUGCUUAUGAACCACAAAAGGAUCUAGAUACUGAUGUUCCUAUACACUUAUUUCUUAUGUCGAAUAGUGCAAUUCAAAUUCUAUUCUUGAAGCUUAAAGAUAACAUUGGAGCUGGCCCAAACUAGUAAAAUAUAUGAUUGUGAAUGGAGUUUAUCAAAAUGUAGACACAGGAAGGCAUAAGUGGAAUACAGAACAGUGAAGGCUUAUUCAAGAUAAUGUUAUACUCAUGAAUCACACCACCUAAUACCUGCACUGCUUAGACAUGCAGAACAUAAAGCGUCU